AACACAUGCAAGUCGAACGCCCCGCAAGGGGAGUGGCAGACGGGUGAGUAACGCGUGGGAAUCUACCUAGUUCUACGGAACAACAGAGGGAAACUUCUGCUAAUACCGUAUACGCCCUAAGGGGGAAAGAUUUAUCGGAAUUAGAUGAGCCCGCGUAAGAUUAGCUAGUUGGCGGGGUAAUGGCCUACCAAGGCGACGAUCUUUAGCUGGUCUGAGAGGAUGAUCAGCCACACUGGGACUGAGACACGGCCCAGACUCCUACGGGAGGCAGCAGUGGGGAAUAUUGGACAAUGGGCGCAAGCCUGAUCCAGCCAUGCCGCGUGAGUGAUGAAGGCGUUAGGGUUGUAAAGCUCUUUCAGUGGGGAAGAUAAUGACGGUACCCACAGAAGAAGCCCCGG
rnacentral:rRNA from 1 species